rnacentral:misc_RNA from 1 species
GUUCGAGCGUCAUUUCAACCCUCAAGCUCAGCUUGGUAUUGAGUCCAUGUCAGCAAUGGCAGGCUCUAAAAUCAGUGGCGGCGCCAUUGGGUCCUGAACGUAGUAAUAUCUCUCGUUACAGGCUCUCAGUGUGCUUCUGCCAAAACCCAAAUUUUUCUAUGGUUGACCUCGGAUCAGGUAGGGAUACCCGCUGAACUUAA